rnacentral:rRNA from 1 species
UACGGAGGGUGCGAGCGUUGUUCGGAAUCACUGGGCGUAAAGGGCGUGUAGGCGGUCUGUUAAGUCUGAUGUGAAAGCCCGGGGCUCACCCCCGGAAGUGCAUUGGAUACUGGCGGACUCGAGUCUCGGAGAGGAGGGUGGAAUUCCAGGUGUAGCGGUGAAAUGCGUAGAUAUCUGGAGGAACACCGGUGGCGAAGGCGGCAUCCUGGACCAACACUGACGCUGAGGAGCGAAAGCCAGGGGAGCAAACGGG